UCGGGAUAGCUCAGCUGGUAGA
rnacentral:tRNA from 4 species